GGGCUCACUACAGCAGCACAUAUACGAAAACUGGAACGAUACAGAGAAGAUUAUCAUGGCCCCUGAGCAAGGAUUACCUGCAAAUUCGUGAAUCGUUCCAUAUUUUU